rnacentral:pre_miRNA from 1 species
NNNNNACUCCCUCCGUCCGAAAAUACUUGUCAUUGAAAUGGAUGUAUCUAGAUGUAUUUUAGUUCUAGACACAUCCAUUUUGAUGACAAGUAAUUCCGGACGGAGGGAGUAUUAU